rnacentral:rRNA from 1 species
CUACCAUUAAGUUGAGCACUCUAAUGAGACUGCCUGGGUAACCAGGAGGAAGGUGGGGAUGACGUCAAAUCAUCAUGCCCCUUAUGUCCAGGGCUACACACGUGCUACAAUGGUAGGUACAAUAAGACGCAAGACCGUGAGGUGGAGCAAAACUUAUAAAACCUAUCUCAGUUCGGAUUGUAGGCUGCAACUCGCCUACAUGAAGCUGGAGUUGCUAGUAAUCGCGAAUCAGAAUGUCGCGGUGAAUACGUUCCCGGGCCUUGUACACACCGCCCGUCACACCAUGAGAGCUGGUAACACCCGAAGUCCGUGAGGUAACCGUAAGGAGCCAGCGGCCGAAGGUGGGAUUAGUGAUUGGGGUGAAGUCGUAACAAGGUAGCCGUAGGAGAACCUGCGGCUGGAUCACCUCCUUUCUAAGGAGA